UGACUCAGUCGGUUGAGUAUCUGACUUCAGCUCAGGUCAUGAUCUCACAGUUUGUGGGUUCAAGCCCCAC
rnacentral:tRNA from 1 species